rnacentral:rRNA from 1 species
AUUGAACGCUGGCGGCAUGCUUUACACAUGCAAGUCGAACGGCAGCGCGGGCUUCGGCCUGGCGGCGAGUGGCGAACGGGUGAGUAAUGCAUCGGAACGUGCCCAGUAGUGGGGGAUAGCCCGGCGAAAGCCGGAUUAAUACCGCAUACGACCUGAGGGUGAAAGCGGGGGACCGAAAGGCCUCGCGCUAUUGGAGCGGCCGAUGUCGGAUUAGCUAGUUGGUGGGGUAAAGGCUUACCAAGGCGACGAUCCGUAGCUGGUCUGAGAGGACGACCAGCCACAUGGGAACUGGGAAAGGGCCCAGACCCCUAGGGGAGGCAGAAGGGGGGAAUUUUGAACAAGGGGGGCAACCCGGAUCCAGCCAUGCCGGGGGGGGGAAAAAGGCCUUGGGGUUGUAAACCGCUUUUGUUGGGGAAAAAAUCCUUGGGGCUAAAACCCCGGGGGGAUGACGGGACCGGAAAAAUAAGCACCGGCAAACUACGU